rnacentral:misc_RNA from 1 species
AUUACAAAAUUCCUGCCCCAAAGGGUAUACUUAUUCCCCUUGUGUAUUAUUACUUUGUUGCUUUGGCGAGCUGCCUCCUGGCCUUGUAUGCUCGCUCCAGAUGACCACAUCUCUCUUUAUUAAUGUCUUCCGAUUACAAUAUAAUAAUUUAAACUUUCAACAACUUAUCUCUUGGUUCUGGCAUCUCUGAAUAACGCAACGAAAUGCGAUACGUAGGAAUAAUAGAAUGAAUUGAG